rnacentral:rRNA from 1 species
UGGGGAAUUUUGGACAAUGGGGGAAACCCUGAUCCAGCCAUCCCGCGUGUGCGAUGAAGGCCUUCGGGUUGUAAAGCACUUUUGGCAGGAAAGAAACGUCGCGGGUUAAUACCCCGCGAAACUGACGGUACCUGCAGAAUAAGCACCGGCUAACUACGUGCCAGCAGCCGCGGUAAUACGUAGGGUGCAAGCGUUAAUCGGAAUUACUGGGCGUAAAGCGUGCGCAGGCGGUUCGGGAAGAAAGAUGUGAAAUCCCAGAGCUUGACUUUGGAACUGCAUUUUUAACUACCGGGCUAGAGUGUGUCAGAGGGAGGUGGAAUUCCGCGUGUAGCAGUGAAAUGCGUAGAUAUGCGGAGGAACACCGAUGGCGAAGGCAGCCUCCUGGGAUAACACUGACGCUCAUGCACGAAAGCGUGGGGAGCAAACAGGAUUAGAUACCCUGGUAGUCCACGCCCUAAACGAUGUCAACUAGCUGUUGGGGGCCCUUCGGGCCUUGGUAGCGCAGCUAACGCGUGAAGUUGACCGCCUGGGGAGUACGGUCGCAAGAUUAAAACUCAAAUGAAUUGACGGGGGUCAUAGCUGUUUU